rnacentral:rRNA from 1 species
CCUACGGGAGGCAGCAGUAGGGAAUAUUGCUCAAUGGGGGAAACCCUGAAGCAGCAACGCCGCGUGGAGGAUGAAGGUUUUCGGAUUGUAAACUCCUUUUGUUAGAGAAGAUAAUGACGGUAUCUAACGAAUAAGCACCGGCUAACUCCGUGCCAGCAGCCGCGGUAAUACGGAGGGUGCAAGCGUUACUCGGAAUCACUGGGCGUAAAGAGCGCGUAGGCGGGAUAGCAAGUCAGAUGUGAAAUCCUAGGGCUUAACCAUAGAACUGCAUUUGAAACUGUUAUUCUAGAGUAUGGGAGAGGUAGGUGGAAUUCUUGGUGUAGGGGUAAAAUCCGUAGAGAUCAAGAGGAAUACUCAUGGCGAAGGCGACCUGCUAGAACAUAACUGACGCUGAUGCGCGAAAGCGUGGGGAGCAAACAGGAUUAGAUACCCGGGUAGUC